AUUGAACGCUGGCGGCAGGCUUAACACAUGCAAGUCGAACGAGUGGCGGACGGGUGAGUAAUGCCUGGGAAUCUUGCUUAUGGAGGGGGCUAACUACGGGAAACUGUAGCUAAUACCGCGUACAUUAGGAUGCGCCCAAGUGGGAUUAGGUAGUGGGUGGGGAAAAGGCGCACCAAGCCGACGCUCUCUAGCUGGUCUGAGAGGAUGACCAGCCACAAUGGGACUGAGACACGGCCCAGACUCCUACGGGAGGGAGCAGUGGGGAAUAUUGGGCAAUGGGGGCAACCUGACGCAGCCAUGCCGCGUGAAUGAAGAAGGCCUUAGGGUUGUAAAGUUCUUUCGGUAGGGAGGCGUUAACUACAGAAGAAGCACCGGCUAACUCCGUGCCAGCAGCCGCGGUAAUAC
rnacentral:rRNA from 1 species